UGACUGGCUCUAACAAAGAGGAGGCUUACCUGCUUUCUGUGCCUACAGAAGACCAGACCAGAGAGGGAGUUGAGAUCCAUCUACAGUGAGCAACUCGAGGUACUCUGUGAAGAAAGCCUGGCAUGGGAAUAAGCCACAUCCAACUUCCUCAGCAAAUUAAAGAAGGAUGUAUGUCAAAAUGUCAUACUGUAGAGGGAUGGAUACAAACUCAGCCUAAUCCUUUUGAAGGCAGAAGAUUCGAUGCUAAAUUAUCCUAAUAUUAGUGAGUCUUCCAUGACAUUAAUCAAGCUCCCCAUUUGAGAAGCUGGAAAAAAUACUACAAAACUGGGUAUGAGGAAAACAAGAAUGAAUUACAUUUUGUGUUUACAAGUCCAA